UCAAGAAUAAACCUUACAUUUAGAAGCACCUUUAAGCAAAAGUUAAGAGCACAAACCCUGAAGUUAAUAAGUUGUUAAGUUUGUUAAUGGUAGUGGUAUUAUUAUAUGUAAUUGUGUUUAUUGAAAUGUUAUGGAUAUGAUGAAGAAUG